UUGGACACAGUGGCUAAGACUGGAUAGGAAGAUAAAAGGCAUCUUUUAUCUUUUAAAAGACCUAGUAAUAGGUAUGCUUUAGGAGGGGCUUGCGCCAUAUUAGUUAGUUGGUAGGGUAAUGGCCUACCAAGACGAUGAUGUGUAGCUGGACUGAGAGGUUGAACAGCCACAUUGGGACUGAGACACGGCCCAAACUCCUACGGGAGGCAGCAGUAGGGAAUUUUCGGCAAUGGAGGAAACUCUGACCGAGCAACGCCGCGUGAAUGACGAAGUACUUCGGUAUGUAAAGUUCUUUUAUCAAGGAAGAAAAGCAAAUGGCGAACCAUUUGUUUGCCGGUACUUGAUGAAUAAGCCCCGGCUAAUUAUGUGCCAGCAGCCGCGGUAAGACAUAAGGGGCAAGUGUUAUCCGGAAUUAUUGGGCGUAAAGGGUGCGUAGGCGGUCUAGUAAGUCAGUGGUGUAAUGGCAACGCUUAACGUUGUCCGGCUAUUGAAACUGCUAAACUUGAGUUAGAUAGAGGCGAGUGGAAUUCCAUGUGUAGCGGUAAAAUGCGUAAAUAUAUGGAGGAACACCAGAGGCGUAGGCGGCUCGCUGGGUCUUAACUGACGCUGAGGCACGAAAGCGUGGGGAGCAAACAGGAUUAGAUACCCUGGUAGUCCACGCCGUAAACGAUGAGUACUAAGUGUCGGGUUAAACCGGUACUGAAGUUAACACAUUAAGUACUCCGCCUGAGUAGUACGUACGCAAGUAUGAAACUUAAAGGAAUUGACGGGACUCCGCACAAGCGGUGGAUCAUGUUGUUUAAUUCGAAGAUACCCGAAAAACCUUACCAGGUCUUGACAUGUUUUUGCAAAAUGAUAGUAAUAUCGUGGAGGUUACCAGAAACACAGGUGGUGCAUGGUUGUCGUCAGCUCGUGUCGUGAGAUGUUAGGUUAAGUCCUAAAACGAGCGAAACCCUUAUCGUUAGUUGCCAGCACGUUAUGGUGGGGACUUUAACGAGACUGCCAAUGAUAAAUUGGAGGAAGGUGAGGAUCACGUCAAAUCAGCAUGCCCCUUAUGACCUGGGCUACAAACGUGAUACAAUGGCUGUUACAAAGGGUAGCUGAAACGCAAGUUCUUGGCCAAUCCCCAAAAACAGUCCCAGUCCGGAUUGAAGUCUGCAACUCGACUUCAUGAAGU
rnacentral:rRNA from 1 species